GAAAUCUCCUCUAGGUGUAAAGAAGGUUGUGUGUAUUGUGAAAUCAACUAUAAGUGCAGCCCACAAAUCUGAAACGAGGCUUAGUUGCUUCACUUCCGUCUCGCCCUACGCCAUUUUGUCACUUCCAGAUUCCAGUAGUUGCUGAGGAAUAGUGGAACCUUAUUGGACAAUUUCGGUAGCAACAGCCAAUCAGGUGCAAGGCCUGGGUCUCAGAGCACGAACUGUUAAGUUCUGUGACAACAUUUUCUAUUCAGGCACGUCAUGGCUGAUAUGAGAAUGAAUAAACUACAAGAAGGUCUACAACAGCAACGUCGCCUCAUCGAUCAGCUCCGCUGCGAGGCCCAGAUCACGCGCAUGAGGGUGUCCCAAUGUAUCGAGGACCUUGUCAAGUACUGUGACUCCCACACAGAGGAUGACGUCCUCAUUAAGGGAUUCUGCAAGCCCAGUGACAACCCCUUCAAAGAAAAGGGUGGUUGCACCAUAUUAUAGAGUUACCUCCCCAUGGGAGGUAACUCUUGCAUGGCACUGUGCCUGUCUUUGACUCAUCAAGAUCUGUCUCUUGUAUUAUGUGUAGCUCCAGUAUUUUAUGUAUUUUUCUUUGUGUUGUGAGACCUGAGCUCCUGGGGCCAUAUCUGUGAGGGAAGUGCGUGUUCACUUUUAGUACGGAAUGUGUCCACAUAUGGCCAUUUUGCCUCAUAUGUAUGGCCGACAGAUGUGAUUUAUGGGACGUUGCAAAAUAUGAUUUAUGUCAUUGAGCUACUCCUACUUAUUUGAUACUCUACAACACAGUUAGGACUAUUUCUUGCAAUGUUGAACAACUUUUACCAUCAUUAUUUAACUACACAAGUAUGAGGUUUCUCAUCUGUCCAUAUAUCUACAUAAAUAAUUGUGUCCUACAAAUAAUGUUGAGAUCUAACAAUUUGCUAAACAAUUGUCCAUUGUUAGCUUACAGUGAUGAUGAAAAGGUUGCAUUUAUGUUUGUCAUUUUUCGAUAUCUGUGGCAAACUGGAAACAACUUACCCGUCAUUAACCUAGGCUUUCUCCGAAGUGGGAUAUGUUUGUGCACUGUAGUUCCUGGAGAGGCACUUUGGUAAUCAAAGCAUCAUUUAAAGUCAGUAACAUCUCAUCAUAUUUACGUGAAAUAUGUGAUUUUUUAUUUUAUUGAAACAUGAUUGAGUACAUUCUACACAGUUCAUGUCAAAAACGCUUUUACAUCUUGAUUCAUCUUAUUGUAUAGUAAAGUAAAUGUCUACAUAA